rnacentral:rRNA from 1 species
AGCAGCCGCGGUAAUUCCAGCUCCAAUAGCGUAUAUUAAAGUUGUUGCAGUUAAAAAGCUCGUAGUUGAAUUUCGGGGUUAGUAGGUUGGUCAUGCCUCUGGUAUGUACUGGUCUCACUGAUUCCUCCUUCCUGAUGAGCCGUAAUGCCAUUAAUUUGGUGUUGCGGGGAAUUUGGACUGUUACUUUGAAAAAAUUAGAGUGUUUAAAGCAAGCUAACGCUUGAAUACAUUAGCAUGGAAUAAUGAAAUAGGACGUUUGAUUCUAUUUUGUUGGUUUCUAGGAUCGACGUAAUGAUUAAUAGGGAUAGUUGGGGGCAUUAGUAUUCAAUUGUCAGAGGUGAAAUUCUUGGAUUUAUUGAAGACUAACUACUGCGAAAGCAUUUGCCAAGGAUGUUUUCAUUAAUCAAGAACGAAAGUUAGGGGAUCGAAGACGAUCAGAUACCGUCGUAGUCUUAACCAUAAACUAUGCCGACUAGGGAUCGGAUGAUGUUAAUUUUUAAUGACUCAUUCGGCG